GAUGGCAUAUGAUGUUAAAAUCUUAUUCUACACACUGAAAUCCCGGUGUAGACAACCGAUCACCUCUGACAAACUGAUGCCAAU